rnacentral:tRNA from 18 species
GGGUUGUUAGCUCAGUCGGUAGAGCAGCGGACUUUUAAUCCGUUUGUCGAGCGUUCGAAUCGCUCACGACCCACCA